UGGGGCAUAGCCAAGCGGUAAGGCAACAGACUUUGACUCUGUCACUGCGUGGGUUCAAAUCCCGCUGCCCCAA
rnacentral:tRNA from 1 species